rnacentral:rRNA from 1 species
UACGGAGGGUGCGAGCGUUGUCCGGAAUCACUGGGCGUAAAGGGCGCGUAGGCGGCCUGAUAAGUAGGGGGUGAAAUCCUGCGGCUUAACCGCAGGGCUGCCUUCUAAACUGUCGGGCUCGAGCACAGUAGAGGCAGGUGGAAUUCCCGGUGUAGCGGUGGAAUGCGUAGAGAUCGGGAAGAACAUCAGUGGCGAAGGCGGCCUGCUGGGCUGUUGCUGACGCUGAGGCGCGACAGCGUGGGGGAGCAAACAGG